UAGAAAAUAGAUGUUUAACUACAGCAUGUAAGCAUGGAUCACAUUUAUAAACAAAGAAAAGCGAAAACGGAAGGAGGUUGGCGUUUUUCAAGCAUCAUGCCCUGGCUUUCCUGGUGUAAACAACGCCAUAUGCGUUUGAGUGCCUCUGCAGAGCCAUAGAAGAAAAGCUGAUUAGUUAUAGAGGAAUAGGACACCCACCCACCCUACCCCUUGAAGCAUUACAGAUUAUGCAGGACCAAGCAGGAUGACAGUGAGAAAACUGGAGAUGUACUUCUUCAACAAAGUAAAGUGCUGUGCAAAAGAAACCCCAAAGCAGAGAGAAGAUCUAGACUUUUGAAUUCAUAUCUCAUUAUAAAUGUACAAUUUACA